CUGCACUGUAGCAGGAGAAGAACACAGCCAGCUUGUGCUGCCCAGGAGAUCCCUGUGUGGGAAAACGGUGACCUAGGAAAACGUCUUGCAAUAAUAACUGUUUGGAUGUUUUGUGAUCGCUGACGAUGCUGAGUAAAAAGGAUGACCACCUUCAAAUAUCCUCUGGGAUAAAGAUAUUUUCAGUAGCACAGGCCUUUUAGAUGAAACUGUCACAAGAGUAUUGAGAUUUUGCAAAUGGAACCAAGGAAACAUACAACAAAAUCUCUUGUCCUUCCUUCCCAGAUAGAUUGUUGAACAAGCUGAUUUAUGAGAUUAAAAGAUGUCUAAUCUC